ensembl:lncRNA PPIEL peptidylprolyl isomerase E like (pseudogene)
ACGGUGCGGGCUUCCGGCGGAAGCGCUGGAAGCAAGAUGGCGGCCGCCGAGAGGGUUCACAAAGGGUAGGGUGGUGUGGAGCAAGGCAGGGUCCUCGCAGGCAGUGCCAAGAUUGAGCUGGGGGUGGGCAGAGUGGGCGGGGUGCGGACCCAUGGCCCUACGCAUCCUGGGCCAGGUCUCUUGUGGUGCUUCACGCUCUCGACCUGUGAGUGGUGCCUGCUAGAGCUGCCCAGAUCCCUUUUCCCUACCCCUUCUGACCCUGGACCCAGAGUGGUGGUUGCGAUCUGCUACCGUGACGUCAGCCCUCAUUCGUUCGUUCCACAAACUCCACAGCUCUGGUCCAUUAGAGGAAGGAGGUCCCAGAAUAGCUGGGAAAUUACGAGAACAGCCUCACUGCACGAGUUGGUGAAUGCUGUGAUGGCGAUUGUAUGAUGGACGGUGAUGUUGAAACCAGACUGGGGAAUGACCGCCCCAUCCGGAGAGAAAAGCACCAAGGAUUCUCUUUUGUUGAAUUUGAGUUGGCAGAGGAUGUUGCAGCAGCUGUCAACAACAUGUUUGGUCAGAUGAAGACUGGGUGGAGAAGUUUGCUGGGAAGAGGAUAAAGAGGAAGGUGGUUGAGACUUCCCAAAGCAGAAAGCCAGGAGCGCAGCCCAUUUACUGCCUUCUCCAGGAAGCUUUUCUGAAUCCUCCAGUGAGUAAGGGAGAGCCCACUGCUAAAAAAGGCCUAGUCAAAUCCUCAGGUGUACAUGGACAUCAAGAUUGGGAACAAGCCGGCUGGCUGCAUCCAAACCCUCCUGCGUUCCGACGUCGUGCCCAUGACCACAGAGAAUUUUCUCUACAUGUGCACCCAUUUAAAGGACUCGGCUUCAAGGGAAGCAGCUUCCACCGCAUUAUCCCCCAGUUCAUUUGCCAGGGCAGUGAUUUCACAAACCACGGUGGCACCAGGGGUCUGCGCAGGCAUGGCACUAAGUGUCCCAUGGCACAUUUGGCCCUCAUGGAGGCCUCAAAAGGGCAGGACCAGCACCCUCUUCUACGGAGGAAGGAACGGGCACAGCAGAAACAAGGAGAGUCAGCAAUUACCAGCCAGCCAAGGUCCUGGAAGCUGACGUAGAGCUCGUGCCGACGGCAGACCUGCCGGCCGUGGGAGCCGCGGACGUCAUCUGCAGGGACAGAAGGGGCAAGGUCUUUUCUGGGGUUCCUGCUGUGUGCAGCUACUAUGGGGUACCAGGGUGGGGGAUGCCCUGAUGAGCACAUUUGUCAAAUAAAUGAAUGACAGGAAACCA